GUCCUUAUCCAGGACUGGAUAGAAUGAAAUGAUCAUAAGUUCCAGACAGUUGAGCUGAAGAUUUCCAACGGUUUCCAUCAGGAGCCAUUCUAGCAGCUUUAUUUUCUUUCUCUGAAACCAAUUGAGAGUUUCCUUGGCUGUGUGUUUGGGAUCAUUGUCUUGCUGAAAUGUCCGCCCUCGUUUCAUCUUCAUCAUCCUGGUAGAUGGCAGCAGAUUUUUAUCAAGAAUGUCUCGGUACAUUUUUCCAUUCAUCCUUCCUUCAAUUAAAUGAAGUUUGCCAGUGCCGUAUGCUGAAACCCAGCCCCACACCAUGAUGUUCCCACCUCCACACUUCACUGUCGGUCUGGUGUUUGUGGGCUGAUGUGCAGUGCCAUUCGACCUCCAAACAUGAAGAGAAGCAUCUUAUCACCUGAACAGUGAAGCAGAGCGAAGAGUGAGAGAGCAGAGUGAAGCAAACACACCACAGGGCAGUGAUGUGUGUGUGGAAAACAACUGACCAUCAGUCUGCUGGCCUGAUAUUACUCCUGAUUCCUGCUGCCUGCGGACUGACUGCAGCAGUUUGGUGAAAUUACACAACAUUUGAAGAGAUGACUGGGAUUAUGUGUGAAUAGUUCAGCCAACAACAACAACAACAUGGCUGUGUGUGAGAACUAUAAUCUGGUUUACUCACGAUCAGAGGUAACGCCUCCACCAGCUGGAGAGUGAAUUCCAGGAAAAGGGAAAGUUGAUCAAUAUCUGUUGGUCAUCCCAGCCUGAGCAUUUCAUUUAUAUACAGGCAUCCUUCACUAUCUGCUAGUGCAAAAUUACAGAUCGCCUUAGCUUGUAAAUAAUUAAAUAAGAUGGAGAUGUCUUUUACAGGAUGUUCACCUCUUGUGAUGUGAGUAAAUACCGCAGCCUGACUUCUUACAAAAACUCAAAAGUAUGAACACAUCACCACCAUUCUCGCCUCAUUGCACUGGCUACCUGUCACGCUCAGAAUUGAUUUUAAAAUUGUAUUGCUAGUUUUUAAAUCUCUUAUAACACUGACCUUCUAAUACCGUACACACCUGCUCGUAAUCUCAGACCAGCAGAUCAACUGUUGCUUUUGGCUCCCAUGUAAGGCGAGAAACUGAGGGCAGUAGCUUUUUCUGUAAGGGCUCCACGACUAUGGAAUAACCUUCCACUGGAAAUCAGACCAGCUACCUCAUUGUCCUCUUUUAGAUCUCCUUUAAAGAUACAUUUUUAUAAUAUGGCUUUUACCUAGAUUUCUUAAGUCUUUUUGUAUGUCAUUUUUCUGAUUCUAUGUUUGUGAAACACUUUUUAAACUUGUUUUUGAAAAUACUAUAUAAAAAAGUUAUAUUAAUUAUUUUUAGUAGUUAUUUUUUGCUGCCUGGAUGAAAUCUCACUCCAACCUGAGCACAAGAGUUGACAGUAUUCUUUCUAUUUUUAAGGCUGAGCCCAGACAUCUGUCGAAGAAAACUGUAGUCUCAUAAAUCAGUCAUACACACAGUAAUAUCCAACUUCCUUCUCGGCACAUGUCUCUACAGUGUUCAUACAUGCUAAAUAAGUCACGUGUCAUUCAAAAAGUAUUGCUGGCAAAAAGAAGUACGACAAAAGUGCUCUUGGUUUUCCAACUUGCUGAACUGGAAUGCGAUCGAUUCGGGUGUGAUGUCAUGUGACUUCUAAGGUAAAUGGAACUCAUAGCUUCAUCGAGCUGCUACAUAAUGGUACCCGUCUUGUUCAAAAAAGGCACGAUGUUAGGUUUAAAUACAGAUUUCUAACCUGACCUACUUUUCAAAGUGUGACAGUGUUGGAGGGAAAAACUUUGCCUUUUGUAUAAAUGUCAGCUCACAGCUGCUGGACAGAGAGCGGCAGGUUUAAUAUUUCAGUUUGACUAAAAAAUGAGUUCAUGUGACAGUCAGCCACUCACACUGGAGUCGGAACCUACUCCUGGCACGACCUGCCACGCUCUCCACUGACUUUAUUGCUUGAUCAGUGUAAUGGGGAUAAACUCUGACUUCACAUGGUAAUUAUAUGUCAAUAUAAUUUCUCUCAGCACACAGUGAUUCACUGCUGUAUGAUUAUUAAACUGGGAACAAGCUCCUCUUGUAUAGAUUUGACUGAGACUGAUUGUUUCAUAAAUGCUAAAGCACAGCAUACAAUAAAAAGAGCAGCCCAGAAUUGAGAGAUUGUGAGAUAGUAGCUUAAGGGUCACCAAAGAAGGUAGGCAGGCAGAUCAGCAGACUUCUUGUUGUUUCAAAGGUGAAUAGUUUUAUUUACAGUAUUCUCCUAAACUCCAAAUAACAAUUAAACUAUUCUCAACAAAAAAUGCACACGCUGGUGGCAACACAGCUUCUCCUGUCCUCUUCCUGGAACAACACUAUUCAGCUUCUUAAACAGGGUUUUCGAUUCAAAGCUUCAGCCUGACCAAUAACCAGCAGAUCACUAGACACAGUAUUCUUCCUGUAAACACAAACGUUUAACCUUAUUUUUCCACUAUAGAAGCCCAUUCACAUCACUAAAUGGCUCUUUAAAAGUAAAUAGAUAAAUAGAGGUGCCCUCUUUAAGGCUGCCCUGUAUUGUGGGCUCGAACCGUUUGAACAAAGGAACAAACACUGAAAUAAUAUUUUAACCUGACACAUAAUAAAAGGUAACUAAAACUAACUUAUAGUUGUGUGUUUGCUUUAGUGAACUCACAGUUCAAUGUGAACUGUAACGUGUUGCCCACACAAACAAACCUGAGUAAGUGAUGCAAUGUUGCAAAAUGGUAAAUGAUAGUGUAAUGAACUUAUGGAGAAACUCAUGAGUGCACUGUGUAAGGUGGUUAAAAGAUGCCAGGGACAAAUAGUGAGUAAAAAGGAGAUCUCACCCACUUUGUCACAGAAUAUGUUAUGAAUUAUGCUGUGUGAGUGUUUGGAAAAAGUCUUGAGUAAAAUCUACUUUGAGAAAUCUAGAAAGCUACAGCUCCACACCUCUUUCCAUAUUAUUGUUCACAGUUCUCCAGUCCACCUGCAGUCAUUUUCUCAAUAAUUGAUUCUGUUGAAAUGCAUGAUUAAACAAUGGUAGCCUCAUUUAUGAUGGUGCAAGUAUGCAGUGAUUAAGGUCUAAUCAUAAUUGUUCUGCCUUCUGUUUAUCAUUGCACUCUUGCAUAUAGACAAGUAAUUAAUCGACUGUUCAGCACAUGUCUAAUCAGUCUUUGAUUAUAAGUGACAGGCCAACUCAGUGUGUUUCACACAAUGUACAUAUAAGAGUAUUACAAGCGAGUGCUGCACUGCUGUGACCCUCCGUCCCCAUGUAAUCAGUGCUUCUGCUGGUGUGUUCACAACCAACACACCAGGGUUUUAAUAGCUCAGGAAGCUAAUACUGAGACACUGUGCCUCAAUAAACAAUCACCUCAGCCUAUCAGCGUGCUUAUACCUUCCAAUUAUCCAAAUGUUGCACUGCAGAUUCUCAUAUUGCUUCUUAGAACUCUUGAGAGAAAUUUACAUUUUUAUUAAAUUUCCAUCUUUUUUUUUUUCCACUACAGCACCUGUGAUCUGCCUCCCUCACCUCUCAUUGGUCUGUGCCCCGCAGCUUCAGGUGGUACAGAGUGCUGCAGAAACCUCACGCAGAGUCACUCAGUGGGUACAUCUGCCUUUGAUGUAGACGAGAGAGGCUGCACUUUAAAUAUUUUAUAAAAUACAGACAAUCCGUGUUGUAUUUGUUGCUAUGAACCUUCAAUGAGACACACAUAAACCUACACAACAAACACUUUUCAUGUAAGAGAGCAUAAUGCGUAUUUUUCACCUACUUCCUCUGUAGGCUACAUAUAUUCUAAUUUCAACUCGUAGGGGUUUCAUUAACGUCCCUUCCUCCCAAACAUGAUUCAGUUGAAUUACCGCCUCUCAGCACGAUUUCAGAAAUACUGAACAUGGAUUUUCACUUUGCAGUGUACCAGCUCUUCCUCUUGCUUCUUGAUCCCCUUUUUUUUCCCUCUUACUCUCAGUCACCUCAUCUGUUAACUCUCUCGCAAAUCCUUAGAUUUUUGCUUGUGUUGGGCUACAUCCGCACUAAUACGUUUUAGUUUGAAAAGCGAAUCACUUUUGCUACAUUAACAUCUCUGAGCCCCUAAAAAUGGAGAACUAUUGAAACGUUGUUGGCCCCGUUUUACUUUUGAAACUCCGUAGCUGCUUUUAGUUUGGUUGAGUGCUUUGUUUGUUUUGUUUUUUUGCGUUGCUUCAGCUCAUCCAGUCUAAAACUGUCCAUCUAUAAAUCUUUCUACUGUAUUAUUUUGUAAAUUUGUUGAGAGAAACUACUGAAUGAGGAGUUAAAUUCCUUGUAUGUGUUCACACUGAAGGCAAAGUUUUAGCCAUGACAGUAGACGAUGCUUCAAAUAUGGAUGUUGCUGUGAAGAACCUAAACAUUCUAAAAUAUGGACGCUUGACACACACCUUCAACACAGCAGUUUCAGUUUCAAGGUUAGCAGCCAACAUUUGUUUCCCCCAUUAUCUAUCUAAGAGUCCGGUCACACAGAAUAUUUCAGAGGUGAAACUUCUCCUUCCAACCUGUGAGAGUUCAACUUGGGUGAACUUUAACCCACGAUAUUCGUUUUUUAUUGGCGUGUCUGUGACUGGGCCCUAAAUAUGAACUAUGGUCACAAUCUCACCUCCGGUUCCUGAGCUAUUGUGUUGAGUAAUAGACAUAAAUGUGUUUUUGCAGAACAUUAUGAUGUCUAAGGGAACAUGACCUUUGACCUUUUGGAUAUGAAAUGUCAUCACUUCAUAAUUUUGUGGGAAUAUUUUAAUUUUGUAAUGUGUGGGAAUUUCUGUCAUAAUUAGCAUGUAAUUUCUAGAGUUAUGGCUAAAAUGUGAUUUGUGAGAUCAGAGUGACCUUAACCUUUGACCUUCGUCCACUAAAAUCAGCGGAUUUCUGAGUCCAAGUGGACGUUUGUGCCAAGUUUGAAGAAAUUCACUUGAAUUUGAGACGUUCCUGAGAUAUUGUGUUCACGACAAUGGGAUGAAUGGGCCAGAGGGAUAAAAAAAAAAAAAAGAAGAGGUAAGCGCAAAUGACAUUUCCUUGACAG